rnacentral:rRNA from 1 species
CGUGAAAUUGUUGAAAGGGAAGCGCUCAUGACCAGACUUGGGCUUGGUUGAUCAUCCAGGGUUCUCCCUGGUGCACUCUUCCAGCCCAGGCCAGCAUCAGUUCGCUGUGGGGGAUAAAGGCUUUGGGAAUGUGGCUCCUCCGGGAGUGUUAUAGCCCAUUGUGUAAUACCCUGUGGUGGACUGAGGUUCGCGCAUCUGCAAGGAUGCUGGCGUAAUGGUCAUCAGCGACCCGUCUUGAAACAC